rnacentral:rRNA from 1 species
GACGAACGCUGGCGGCGUGCCUAAUACAUGCAAGUAGAACGCUGAAGGAGGAGCUUGCUUCUCUGGAUGAGUUGCGAACGGGUGAGUAACGCGUAGGUAACCUGCCUGGUAGCGGGGGAUAACUAUUGGAAACGAUAGCUAAUACCGCAUAAUAUUGACUAUUGCAUGAUAGUCAAUUAAAAGGUGCAAUUGCAUCACUACCAGAUGGACCUGCGUUGUAUUAGCUAGUUGGUGAGGUAACGGCUCACCAAGGCGACGAUACAUAGCCGACCUGAGAGGGUGAUCGGCCACACUGGGACUGAGACACGGCCCAGACUCCUACGGGAGGCAGCAGUAGGGAAUCUUCGGCAAUGGACGGAAGUCUGACCGAGCAACGCCGCGUGAGUGAAGAAGGUUUUCGGAUCGUAAAGCUCUGUUGUAAGAGAAGAACGAGUGUGAGAGUGGAAAGUUCACAC